GAUGAACGCUAGCGGCAGGCCUAACACAUGCAAGUCGAGGGGUAGAAGGAGCUUGCUCCUUUGAGACCGGCGCACGGGUGCGUAACGCGUAUGCAAUCUACCUUGUACAGGGGAAUAGCCCAGAGAAAUUUGGAUUAAUGCCCCAUAGUAUAUAACCUUCGCAUGUUGGUUAUAUUAAAGUUCCAACGGUACAAGAUGAGCAUGCGUCCCAUUAGUUAGUUGGUAAGGUAACGGCUUACCAAGACGAUGAUGGGUAGGGGUCCUGAGAGGGAGAUCCCCCACACUGGUACUGAGACACGGACCAGACUCCUACGGGAGGCAGCAGUGAGGAAUAUUGGUCAAUGGUCGCAAGACUGAACCAGCCAUGCCGCGUGCAGGAAGACGGUCCUAUGGAUUGUAAACUGCUUUUAUACAGGAAGAAACCCUCCCACGUGUGGGAGCUUGACGGUACUGUAGGAAUAAGGAGCGGCUAACUCCGUG
rnacentral:rRNA from 1 species